rnacentral:piRNA from 1 species
UUAUAUGACGAUGGGAUCAAGAGGCUUGGU